rnacentral:rRNA from 1 species
AUGGCCUUCAUGAUUCUAGGACCUGGAAUCAUACCAGCCGAUGGUUUGAAGCACUCCUCUGGUUUGAAGGAUAGAUACCUUUUCUGGGAUCAAUACCAUAUAACUGGAAUAAACCGAUGCAAGUCUAAGAAGGAUUGGCCGGUGCUGCCGGCUGGCGUCAAGUUCGACCCUAUGGAUCAGGAGCUGAUCGAGCACCUUGAGGCCAAACGCAAUUCCAUGGCAUUCAAAAGGGGCACGUGGACGCGUCGCAAGAUACAGUCGGAGUGCGGCAUGCACACGAUGUGGCACAAGACCGGCAAUACCUUGCCUGUGAUGGUCAAUAGCCGGGAGACGGGCAGCAAAAAGGUUCUGGUGCUGCACACCAACAAGAACUUUGACCAGCAGAGGACCGACUGGGUGAUGCACCAGUACCACCUCGGGGACCUGGAAAUUUUCUUGUUUAUUGAGAAGGUGCUAUCUGACGAUGUGGACAGCGAGGAUGAAGAUGUCCAGAGGAGGUACAAGAGGCAAAUCCCAAGGGAGCUUUAUGCGGGAAUGCAUAACAUGCGUAUUAGGACCUGGGAUGGCGGCUAUCGAUGCCCAUUUUGCAACCACAACCUUCAUGACGCGUAUCAAAGUGUUCUGGUGCAUGCAAGAGGACGUGUCGUUGGCCCCUUCAAGCAGAAGUAUUCUCGCAGGGUGGCGCACGAAAACCCUCACCAUCCCCACGUCACAAAAACCCUCACACCGCCCGCCACCCCCUCCGGUCCCCAUUUACACAUGCACAAGCUCCUCCGCGUCUAUGCAUGGCACCGCCUAUCGCGGCGGUAA